ACGUGAGCAACCUGCCCUUGACUUCGGAAUACCAGCUGGAAACAGCUGCUAAUACCGGAUACGACCUCGCCCGACAUCGGUUGAGGUGGAAAGCUCCGGCGGUCAAGGAUGGGCUCGCGGCCUAUCAGCUUGUUGGUGAGGUAACGGCUCACCAAGGCUUCGACGGGUAGCCGGCCUGAGAGGGCGACCGGCCACACUGGGACUGAGAUACGGCCCAGACUCCUACGGGAGGCAGCAGUGGGGAAUAUUGCACAAUGGGCGCAAGCCUGAUGCAGCAACGCCGCGUGCGGGAUGACGGCC
rnacentral:rRNA from 1 species